CAAGGCGCAGAGGGAGUGUCAAACUAUCACUGGGCUCACAAAACUGUCCAAUGAAAAGCCCAGGAACUUCUUACAAAUCUCUAGCUUCUAUUAUGUCCAUUUCCCAAGGGCACAGAGAAGAGUUACCGGGAUAUCAUGGGUGUUUUUCCCGUUCCCAAGGCGCAGAGGGAGUGUCAAACUAUCACUGGGGUCACAAAACAGUCCAUGGAAAGCCCAGGAACUU